AUUUCCUCUGCAAGCCAAUGUAGGAACUUUAAUGCCUGACAUUAAAUAUUCAUUUUUAAAGCUGUAUUCAACUGGAAAAAAAAGUCAAUUAGAGUCUCUUGCGAGGGAAAGAAAAAAAAGUCUAUUAGCUAAAGUGGUGACAUUUCCUUUUGAUAGAAAGCUGGUGUUUCCAAGAGUCUGAGAUAAAGGCUAACAGGCAGUAAUCAAAGAACACAUGAACUAGGCUUUAUGCAAUAUCUCUUCCAUCUGUUCAGCACAGAUCCAUGCGAUCCUUACCAUUAAGCACUGAGAUUUCACUUUGUCCCACAAAAGAAAUCUCUUGCAAUAUGUGAGGAGUGUUACAUCCAGGCCAGAAUCUUUUUGCCUGGACUUGCAGGCACAUUUCCCCAUAGCUGAACUAAAUUGGAAUGUAAAGCUUGUCUUGGUCAAGUGUAAAACUGAUCACCAGCCAUAAAUGUAGAUCUGAGAGGGUCUUGGCUUCAGCUGGGAUAGUUAAUUUUCGUCACUGUAGCUGGUGUAGUGCUGUGUUUUGGACUUACUGUGAGAAUAAUGAAGAUAGUGCAGUGAUGAUUAGUUGUUGCUGAGCAGUGUUUGCGCAGAACCAAAGACUUGGGCAAGGAGUUGCUCAGCCAGUGAGGACCUGGAGUGGAACAGCACCAGAAUAACUGAUCCAGACUGUCCAAAGGGAUGUCCUGUACCAUAUGGCACCACAUUCAGCAACAAUACUGAGACAGUUGGCUGUUUGGGGGUGGCUAGCAUUGCUCAGGGACUGGCUGGGCAUCAGUUGGCUGGCAGUGAGCAAUGGCACUGUACAUCACUUGGUUUUGGUUGGGUUUUUUCCCUUUUCUUUCUUAUUAAAUGAUUGUUAUCUCAACUCCUGAGUUUCUUUUCUCUUUUUUUUCCUGGUUCUUUCUCCCAUCCUUUUGCCCAGAGAGGGAGUGAACUGCGGUGUGGUGCUGAGCUGCCUGCCAGGCUAAAGCACGACACAGAGCUUGAGAAGGCACUGGGCCCAGAGCCCUGCACUCAGAUUUGUCUAUAAGAUGUCUACAGAACACUACGUUGCAUGUCAGACGCUGGGCUAGAACUGAGUUUUCCUGGAGAAACCUGACCAGCUGGAGAAAUAGAACCUCUCGUCUCAGUGCCAGUAGUGAUGCUUUGAUUAUGCUUGUUAAGUGCAGACAGAUAAAGCGCAGAACACAGCAUCCAUUCAUUAUGACUUCUUUAUUUUUUUUGUAGAUUCCUAAUAGCAGAGCUGCCUGCAAAACAAAUAGAAGCAGCUGCCUUCAUUGGGCUUCCCUCCUCACCCCUCAGUGAGAACCUCUGGACUUGUACCAGGCAGCCCCAUUGCUUCAGGCAGCCGUGCUCUGGCUGUGAGUUCCAGCAAUCUGAAUACUCAGGCUUCAAGGUCUGCUCUGAAUUUGGCUCCUGAUGUUGGUCACCUGAUGGCGCUGACAGCAAUGUGGAGUCAUGAAUGCGACAUAUGUGAAACAGGAAACCUUACAGAACUGAAAGUAAGAUGUCUCUUGGGAGCUGUACUCUUAAGUAUCUGUAGAACUGUAGCAAGGCUCUUCUCUUGUUGAAGCUCAUACUUUUAGGUGCUUGUACCACCUUGACUGCUGUGCAGAGGCAGUAGGCAGUUGUAGAGACCAAUGAGGUCUCCCCUCAGCCUCCUCUUCUCCAGACUAAAUAAAACCGAUUCUCUCAGUCACUCCUCAUAA